rnacentral:rRNA from 1 species
UACGGAGGGUGCGAGCGUUGUUCGGAAUCACUGGGCGUAAAGCGCGUGUAGGCGGCCUUCUAAGUCUGGUGUGAAAGCCCGGGGCUCAACCCCGGAAGUGCAUUGGAUACUGGGAGGCUGGAGUACCGAAGAGGAGGGUGGAAUUCCUGGUGUAGCGGUGAAAUGCGUAGAUAUCAGGAGGAACACCGGUGGCGAAGGCGGCCCUCUGGUCGGAUACUGACGCUGAGACGCGAAAGCGUGGGGAGCAAACAGG